rnacentral:rRNA from 1 species
GUGUCAGCAGCCGCGGUAAUACGUAGGUGGCAAGCGUUGUCCGGAUUUAUUGGGCGUAAAGCGAGCGCAGGCGGUUUUUUAGGUCUGAUGUGAAAGCCUUCGGCUUAACCGGAGAAGUGCAUCGGAAACCGGGAGGCUUGAGUGCAGAAGAGGACAGUGGAACUCCAUGUGUAGCGGUGAAAUGCGUAGAUAUAUGGAAGAACACCAGUGGCGAAGGCGGCUGUCUGGUCUGUAACUGACGCUGAGGCUCGAAAGCAUGGGUAGCGAACAGGAUUAGAUACCCUGGUAGUCCAUGCCGUAAACGAUGAGUGCUAAGUGUUGGAGGGUUUCCGCCCUUCAGUGCUGCAGCUAACGCAUUAAGCACUCCGCCUGGGGAGUACGACCGCAAGGUUGAA